AUAAUCUUUGUAUUAUGAUUUGUUGUGAAAAUAUUGUAAAAAUAUGGUAAACAUAACAUCUCAAAUUUUUUAAAUUUCUUUUUGCGCGGUGCCCCAAUUUUCAGGCGCGUUCUAAAUUUUUUUGAUUUCUUUUUUUUUUUUUCAUUAUUUUUUAUUUGUGCAAACAAAACACUGUUACUCUCUCUUUCUCCUCCCACGUAUAGACCCACGCCUCUCUACCUCCCAAAAAGACCGGUAAGCUCUCUCUCAUCGUUGUCAUCGAUCCUCUCUCUCUCAUCACUUUUUUUUCUUCUUUCAGGAUUAGCAUGAUAUUGAUUUCGGGAGGUGUUGGUUUUACGACAUAAAUUUUGGGAUUGGAGAAGCUUCUAAGUGGGUCAAGGGGAAGCAAUUGGAAGAAGUUGUGUCCAUUAAAAACACAUAUGGGAUUGGUGGCAAAAAGAUAGCUUUUGUGGGACUAUUUGAACUCAAAUAAUUUUCUAUAAAGUUUGGAAGCUAAGACAUCAUUUGUAUAUAAAUGGUUGUAAUUACUUUGUGAACAUCUUUAUUGCAUUUUGAGAUUGUAUGGAUUUAUUUAUUUAUUUAUUUAUGGAUUUGGUUAGAAAUGAA